AUGGGUGAGUUAAAUCUCAAGCACUCCACGUCCUCAAAGAUAAAACGCAAAGCUACACGUGUCUCAUCAGUGGGCCCCAACAGAAUUGUACGGAAGAUAUUUUCAGCAUUUUUCUUGCUUUUGAAAAUCCUUUACCUCUUCAAUUCAACUAAAAUUCACCUUCUCUAUAAGCUUGAUCGAGAAUGGAUGAAGGAGUUGAAUUAA